AUCGAACGCUGGCGGCGUGCCUAACACAUGCAAGUCGAACGCAGUGGGGACGGGUGAGUAACACGUGGGUAACCUCCCAUCAGAGGGGAUAACACUUGGAAACAGGUGCUAAACCGAUACUGAUGGAUGGACCCGCGGUGCAUUAGCUAGUUGGUGAGGUAACGGCUCACCAAGGCCACGAUGCAUAGCCGGCCGGAGAGGGUGAGCGGCCACACUGGGACUGAGACACGGCCCAGACUCCUACGGUAGGCAGCAGUAGGGAAUCUUCGGCAAUGGACGAAAGUCUGACCGAGCAACGCCGCGUGAGUGAAGAAGGUUUUCGGAUCGUAAAACUCUGUUGUUAGAGAAGCGGUAUCUGACCAGAAAGCGCCGGAUAACUGCGUGCCAGCCGCCGCGGUAAUAC
rnacentral:rRNA from 1 species